rnacentral:rRNA from 1 species
AAGUCACGGGAACAGAAUGAACUAAGUGAUUUUGUUUUUAGUUGGUCGGACGGGUGGAGUAACGACGUGGGUAACCGUAGCCGUAGUACAGGGGAGUAACACUUAGAAAUAAGGUGCUAAUACCGCAUAAGCGCACAGCUUCGCAUGGAGCAGUGUGAAAAGCGUAAACGGUAUACGAUGGACCCGCGUCUGAUUAGCUAGUUGCGGGGUAGAGGCCCACCAAGGCGACGAUCAGUAGCCGGCCUGAGAGGGUGACCGGCCACAUUGGGACUGAGACACGGCCCAAACUCCUACGGGAGGCAGCAGUGGUGAAUAUUGCACAAUGGGGGGAACCCUGAUGCAGCGACGCCGCGUGAGUGAAGAAGUAUUUCGGUAUGUAAAGCUCUAUCAGCAGGGAAGAAAAUGACGGUACCUGACUAAGAAGCCCCGGCUAACUACGUG